UGUUCCUACUGUCCUACCAUAAUGAAGAGACAAUCAUGUUUUGUAUGAGCCAGAUUGCAAAACAUGUUUAAACACGAGGCAAUUACUCAUAUCUUGGUGGCUAUCUAAGGCUAAUAUGGUAUCCAUGCAGUGCUAUUACAAUGCCUCCCAACAGUUAUAUGCUGGGAGAUAUGGAAAAAUAGAUGGUAUGACAAUAUUUGCAUGUCUGGCAGAGUUAUUGUUCAGCAGUGGAGAAGGCAAAACAAACAACCAGUAGUCACCUGGUUAAAUGGAAUAAGCCUGAGUUUGGUUGGCUAAAACUAACAUUGAUGUCUGUUGUAUAGGGGAUCGGGGAAGCUCUGGAGGAUGUUGUAUCAUUAGAGGCAACCUUGGCUGCUUUGUCCUGGCCUAUGCUGAAUGCUGAAUACUAUGGCCAAUUCAGUGACAAAAUGGCCAAGGCCAAAGCUCUUUUACAGGGUUUGAAACUGUGUGUUAGCAUAAGUUCCUUUUAUGUGAGCGGAAUCUGAUCCCCAGCUGAUUAUUAACAUGAUUAACAACAAAUCCAACAUGUCAUUGAUCAGAUUAUUCACCUCUAAAAUAGUGUAAUUUUGUUUUUGUCCACACAUACCGAGAGGGCAAUAUGGCUGCUGAUUAACUAGCUAAUAUGGGGAAAGAUUGAGAGAUCAAGUUACACUUGAUGAAGCUAUACCUCUGCCAGAAAUAGUGAAAUCAACAGUGAAACUUGAUCAAGAUGGUAUCCCAAACUUCAGCAUAAAACCAAGGAAGAAUCAUUUUGUUAGAAUGAUGCCAACACUAGAAACAGUGGUACUGAAUCUUGUAUAGUUUUGUUAACUGUGUGUAUGGCAUCCUUUUGUGAAGCUUAUAGUAGUCAAAAUGUGAUGGAGGUAACCUCUAUCAAGUUAGGCAAACAUUUGUAACCAGAUGUAUAUAAAAAUGAAUUCUAUCGUUUGUCAUCA